rnacentral:rRNA from 1 species
AGUGAACGCUGGCGGUAGGCCUAACACAUGCAAGUCGAACGGCAGCACAGUAAGAGCUUGCUCUUACGGGUGGCGAGUGGCGGACGGGUGAGGAAUACAUCGGAAUCUACUUUUUCGUGGGGGAUAACGUAGGGAAACUUACGCUAAUACCGCAUACGACCUACGGGUGAAAGCAGGGGAUCUUCGGACCUUGCGCGAUUGAAUGAGCCGAUGUCGGAUUAGCUAGUUGGCGGGGUAAAGGCCCACCAAGGCGACGAUCCGUAGCUGGUCUGAGAGGAUGAUCAGCCACACUGGAACUGAGACACGGUCCAGACUCCUGCGGGAGGCAGCAGUGGGGAAUAUUGGACAAUGGGCGAAAGCCUGAUCCAGCCAUACCGCGUGGGUGAAGAAGGCCUUCGGGUUGUAAAGCCCUUUUGUUGGGAAAGAAAAGCAGCAGGUUAAUACCCCGCUGUUCUGACGGUACCCAAAGAAUAAGCAACGGCUAACUUCGUG